AAGACUAUAGACCUGCGGAGUACCUGCGGAAGGAUCAUUACAUGAUUUGAGGGGGCUCACGUCCCCUCAUCCAACCCACAAACCCCGAGGAACUUUUAUGUCGAGUGGUUCGGCGCUCUCUUUGAGAGCCGCCCCUCAAACGCAUCGCAGGCUUUUCGUGAAGGUCUGAUGUGUCACAUCGUGAGUAUUAAAACUUUCAACAAUGGAUCUCU
rnacentral:misc_RNA from 1 species